rnacentral:lncRNA from 1 species
CCCUUUUUCUUUUUAACAUGUCUUGAAUUAAUUACUACUUAAGAAAACUUAAACUCAACUCUUUCUCAAAUACUAACAGUAACAAAAUCUAGAAGAUUUACUUAAAUUCCAAAGAUAACACUAAAUUUCUCAAUAACAGGGAUUCAUUUUCUCAACAUAUUAGUGAAAGAAUAAAAAGCUAAAACAACAUGUAUCUAACAUGCACUGAUUUCUCUAUCAUCCACGCGUAUGAAUAGAAAUCCAAUCCAUCUAAGCUAUACCUUAGUUGAAAAAACAUUUUUCAUUACUCGCAGAGUUUAGGAAAAGCAAACACACCAUCCAUUCAAGUCCAACAUCAUGUUAAACUUUCAAGAGCAGAGAUUCACUUUCACAGUAUAUGAAUAGCAAUAGAAAAACUUCAGUAACAAGUAUAUUAUACAAUGCACUAUAGAAUGUUGAAGGGAUAGAAAAGCCAGAAGAAAUAACUUCAACUACAGCUUGGAUUCAAUUAGUUCUCCACCCAAAAUACAUGCUCAUAAUCAAAUUAUUGUACAUGGUAGGGAAUAUUACCUGGAUACAACAAAAACAAAACCAAAAAUUGUGCUUGGAGUCAGCUAAUAGCACUAGCAAACAGAAUUAGCUUUGAAAAAUCAAUAACACCAAUUAGAAAUCUACUCUUCCAAUCAGUAAAACCCAAAUGAACCACCAAUUGUAGAGUAUCGAAUAUCUAAUUAGCUAAGAGGUUCUAAGACAUAAUUAAACCAUUUUUUGAUCAAAGAAGUGCACGAAAUUUUCAAUAUUCUUUCAAAGUUUUCUAGAGCUCAGCCAUUUGCAAUUUUUCAGAAUUUUAUCUCUAAUUUUUAUACCCUGCUAAAGAAGAAAAGAUGCCUUUAUAGGCAAGUCUUAGGGCGGCAUAAAAGGGAUUCAGAUUUGCAUAUUAGUCCUUUCAAAAUUUUUAUUUUUGCUGUUCAAUCCCUAGCUUAAAAUUAGUAUUUUCAGUAAAGUCCUAAAGGUACCUUCUCAGAAGCUUCCCUAAUCAGUUAUAGACAUAUUCCCUAGCUAUAAUUCCUAAACUACCCCUUAGGAUCCAUGUUUUUACCCCCAGGAACUCAUGGGUCAUGGGUCAAAUUGAUCCAAUGGUUAAACCAAACAUGAGCUCAAUUUUGACCCAAUAACCUAUAUCAACCGCUUGGAGUGAGGUUUGAAAUGGCAUUAAAGCCCAAACAAAAAAAUAAAUCGAACCACAUUAGCAAUUUAUGACAAGCAGGAAGAAAACAUCUAAAUGAUUUCAAAACGACUAAAACUAAAACCUAAACUAAUGGACUAGUUAAUGCAGAAUAAACUAAGUUAUUAAAUCAAAUUAACAUAACUCAAUUAAACAAAAGGCGAAAUCAGAGGUUUAAAAUAUAACAUUAAUAAAACUAAACAGAUUACUGAAAAUCAAAGAACCAACUUUUAGAAUUUGAAAAAAAAAUAAAACUAAAGGGAACAAACGAACACCACUCAAAUCGACCAGAAACUUUGGUCGAGUUUCAGGUGAAUUAACCAAAGAGAAAGAGAAGACAUAAAUUGGAAUGAAAGUUGAAAUAAUACAAAGAUGAACAAAAUAACGAAGGAAUUCAUUGACCAAACUCGAACUCGAGACAAAUAUUCUGAUUUAACCCCCAAAUAAUGUCAAUUGCUUGUUCUCUGUCAAGAACAUGUAAACAACGUUAUUUUGUGAUAAAACCGACCUUGAAUAACCAAGAAAACUCGGAGAAAUAGCCUUGCAUGUAUGGAUUUGGUUUUGGGUUUUUAAGGCUUCAACUUCGAUUCAAGAUUCGAAAGGGAGUAGGGUGAUUCGAGUGAAAAGGGUUAGAGAUUUGGAGAGAGGGAACCAAGGGGAUUCCGUGGUGUUAAUUUGAGCCGGUUUAGGGGUGGCGCUAGGGUUAGACGAGUGGUCUCUGAAGACAGGGUGAACAACAGAUAUGAGACGCAGGGAGGGGGUAGGGGGCUUUUGGAC